AGAGUUUAAUUUGUGUCCAGGAUCGAAGCAAGUACGUGCUGGAAAGAUCAACGGAGAAGGGACCUGCCGUCAUGUUCCAAGCUGUCACCUUCCCAGUGGCUCUGGUCUUCAUCCUGCAGAUCAGCUCGUCGCUUGCAGAUGUAGAUUG